rnacentral:rRNA from 1 species
GACGAACGCCGGCGGCGUGCUUAACACAUGCAAGUCGAACGGAAAGGCCCUGCUUUUGUGGGGUGCUCGAGUGGCGAACGGGUGAGUAACACGUGAGUAACCUGCCCUUGACUUUGGGAUAACUUCAGGAAACUGGGGCUAAUACCGGAUAGGAGCUCCUGCUGCAUGGUGGGGGUUGGAAAGUUUCGGCGGUUGGGGAUGGACUCGCGGCUUAUCAGCUUGUUGGUGGGGUAGUGGCUUACCAAGGCUUUGACGGGUAGCCGGCCUGAGAGGGUGACCGGCCACAUUGGGACUGAGAUACGGCACAGACUCAUACGGGAGGCAGCAGUGGUGAAUAUUGCACAAUGGGCGGAAGCCUGAUGCAGCAACGCCGCGUGCGGGAUGACGGCCUUCGGGUUGUAGGCCGCUUUCGCCUGUGACGAAGCGUGAGUGACGGUAAUGGGUAAAGAAGCACCGGCUAAGUACGUG